rnacentral:rRNA from 1 species
GUAGUAAUCCUAGAGCUAAUACGUGCGACCAACCCCGGGGCCUUCGGACCUCGGGGCGUAUUUAUUAGAUUCAAAACCGAUGUGGGGCACUCCAAACUCGAGGGGGCGGGGCGACUCGCUCCCCCGGGGUCCCAUCAAGCACCGGUGAUUCGGGAUAACUCAGCGGAUCGCAUGGCCCAGCGCCGGCGACGCUUCGAUCGAAUUUCUGCCCUAUCAACUUUCGACGGUAGGGUAGCGGCCUACCGUGGUUUUUACGGGUGACGGAGAAUUAGGGUUCGAUUCCGGAGAGGGAGCCUGAGAGAUGGCUACCACUUCUACGGAAGGCAGCAGGCGCGUAAAUUACCCAAUCUUGGUUCAAGGAGGUAGUGACGAUAAAUAACGGUGCGGGGCCUUCGGGUCUCGCGAUCGGAAUGAGAACGACCCAAACACCCUAUCGAGUAACGAUUGGAGGGCAAGUCUGGUGCCAGCAGCCGCGGUAAUUCCAGCUCCAAUAGCGUAUACUAAAGUUGCUGCAGUUAAAAAGCUCGUAGUCGAAUUUCGAGGUCUCUCCGGACCGUCCGGUCCUCCCCAGUGGGGAUGGCACCGACCCCGGAACCUCUCUCUUUCCGGACGCUUCCCCCUGCUCUUUACCGAGCGGGGUCAGGGAGGCUCCGGGUCUUUUACUUUGAAAAAAUUAGGGUGUCCAAGGCGGGCCACGAACACUCGGGCGCCUCGAAUAAUUCAGCAUGGGAUAAUGGAACAGGGCUGGGCUCUCGUUUCCAUCGGUUUACAAGCUACCCGCUGAGGGGAGAGGGGGAGACCCCUCUCCCCCGGGGGUCCAGCAAUGAUUGACAGGGGUGAUCGGGGCCAUUGAUACUCCGUGGCGAGAGGUGAAAUUCUAGGACCCACGGAAGAUCGACCAGAGCGAAAGCAUUUGGCAAGGGCACCCCCAUUGAUCAAGAACGAAAGUUAGGGGAUCGAAGACGAUCAGAUACCGUCGUAGUCUUAACCGUAAACGAUGCCGACCAGGGAUUGAGGGACGUUACUCCGUACGACUCCCCCAGCGCCUCGCGGGAAACCACGAGUCUUCGGGUUCCGGGGGGAGUAUGGUCGCAAGGCUGAAACUUAAAGGAAUUGACGGAAGGGCACACCAGGAGUGGAGCCUGCGGC